rnacentral:RNase_P_RNA from 4 species
AGGGCUAGAUGAGUAGUCGCUGUUCUAUUGUAAUGAUAGGAGAGAGGAAAGUCCGGGCUUCACAGGGCAAGGAUGCCAGCUAACGGCUGGUGGAGGUAACUCCAAGGAUAGUGCAACAGAAAUAAACCGCCCAUAUUAUUAUGGGUAAGGGUGGAAAGGCGGUGUAAGAGACCACCGUUUCGUUGGUAACAACGAAAGCCAUGUAAACCCCAUCCGAAGCAAGUUCUAAAAAGUGCGUACGCGGCCCGCCAGCACUAGGUUGAACGCUUGAGGUUAUUGGCGACAGUAAUCCUAGAUAGAUGACUACUUUAAAAGACAUAACCCGGCUCACAGUCUAACCCUUUUC